GAAGAUACUACACUCCCUGUACUCCUUCUGGGUCCUAACCAGCGCCACCUGCAGCCCCGUCGUCUCCUCCGUAACUCCUCUGGGACCACAGGCCUGUUUCCGGGCAGCAGCAGAGGCUUACACAGCGCAAUAAGUUGUUCACGUGCGUAAACAAUGCCGCUACUCCGUUCGGCGAUGUUCUCCGUAACAAAGAAUAUAAAAAGUAGCAGAAGAACGCAGAGAACAGCGACAGAACCACAUCCAGCCAUUGUAGAAAGCUUAACUGAUGAUCUAUGGGUUCUUUAAGCACGGAUCCUUAAUCGGUUACAGCAAAUAUACACAGAUUAACACACACGACGGGAGCUGCGUCUGCAAGCAGCCAGCUGUGCCGGCGCCAAAAAA